rnacentral:sRNA from 1 species
UCCCUGGUGUGAUUCCGUCCUGCGCGGCUGUUUUCUGGAGCAGCGUUGUUUUAUCUCCGUCCGUCUUCUCUCCUACCUAAGUGCGUGCCGCCACCCGAUGGAAGAUUCGAUGGACAUGGACAUGAGCCCCCUGAGGCCCCAGAACUAUCUUUUCGGUUGUGAACUAAAGGCCGACAAAGAUUAUCACUUUAAGGUGGAUAAUGAUGAAAAUGAGCACCAGUUAUCUUUAAGAACGGUACUUAAACUUUCAAAAUAAACUACUUAACCC